ACGAACGCUGGCGGCGUGCCUAAUACAUGCAAGUCGAACGCUUCUUUUUCCACCGGAGCUUGCUCCACCGGAAAAAGAGGAGUGGCGAACGGGUGAGUAACACGUGGGUAACCUGCCCAUCAGAAGGGGAUAACACUUGGAAACAGGUGCUAAUACCGUAUAACAAUCGAAACCGCAUGGUUUUGAUUUGAAAGGCGCUUUCGGGUGUCGCUGAUGGAUGGACCCGCGGUGCAUUAGCUAGUUGGUGAGGUAACGGCUCACCAAGGCGACGAUGCAUAGCCGACCUGAGAGGGUGAUCGGCCACAUUGGGACUGAGACACGGCCCAAACUCCUACGGGAGGCAGCAGUAGGGAAUCUUCGGCAAUGGACGAAAGUCUGACCGAGCAACGCCGCGUGAGUGAAGAAGGUUUUCGGAUCGUAAAACUCUGUUGUUAGAGAAGAACAAGGAUGAGAGUAACUGUUCAUCCCUUGACGGUAUCUAACCAGAAAGCCACGGCUAACUACGUGCCAGCAGCCGCGGUAAUACGUAGGUGGCAAGCGUUGUCCGGAUUUAGUGGGCGUAAAGCGAGCGCAGGCGGUUUCUUAAGUCUGAUGUGAAAGCCCCCGGCUCAACCGGGGAGGGUCAUUGGAAACUGGGAGACUUGAGUGCAGAAGAGGAGAGUGGAAUUCCAUGUGUAGCGGUGAAAUGCGUAGAUAUAUGGAGGAACACCAGUGGCGAAGGCGGCUCUCUGGUCUGUAACUGACGCUGAGGCUCGAAAGCGUGGGGAGCAAACAGGAUUAGAUACCCUGGUAGUCCACGCCGUAAACGAUGAGUGCUAAGUGUUGGAGGGUUUCCGCCCUUCAGUGCUGCAGCUAACGCAUUAAGCACUCCGCCUGGGGAGUACGACCGCAAGGUUGAAACUCAAAGGAGUUGACGGGGGCCCGCACAAGCGGUGGAGCAUGUGGUUUAAUUCGAAGCAACGCGAAGAACCUUACCAGGUCUUGACAUCCUUUGACCACUCUAGAGAUAGAGCUUCCCCUUCGGGGGCAAAGUGACAGGUGGUGCAUGGUUGUCGUCAGCUCGUGUCGUGAGAUGUUGGGUUAAGUCCCGCAACGAGCGCAACCCUUAUUGUUAGUUGCCAUCAUUUAGUUGGGCACUCUAGCAAGACUGCCGGUGACAAACCGGAGGAAGGUGGGGAUGACGUCAAAUCAUCAUGCCCCUUAUGACCUGGGCUACACACGUGCUACAAUGGGAAGUACAACGAGUCGCAAAGUCGCGAGGCUAAGCUAAUCUCUUAAAGCUUCUCUCAGUUCGGAUUGUAGGCUGCAACUCGCCUACAUGAAGCCGGAAUCGCUAGUAAUCGCGGAUCAGCACGCCGCGGUGAAUACGUUCCCGGGCCUUGUACACACCGCCCGUCACACCACGAGAGUUUGUAACACCCGAAGUCGGUGAGGUAACCUUUUGGAGCCAGCCGCCUAAGGUGGGAUAGAUGAUUGGGGUG
rnacentral:rRNA from 1 species